rnacentral:rRNA from 1 species
AUGCGAGACUUACGCAAAUGUCUCCUGGAUCUCGCACGCAAUUCCAUGCAUCAUGCGCACUGCGCCGUGCACUCACGCUCUCCGCCCACCCCGCAAUCCGCGCAUCGACCAUCGCCGGGCCCUUUCCAAUCUACCGUCGCUUGCUACCAAUGCGGUCCAAUUAUCCGACGCCUCUCAGACUCUAGCGGCCACAUACCGGCAUGGCUAUAUAUACAAGCGGGAGGGCGCGCUCGGAGACAAGACAAACACACACACACGGCCCGCGCUGCAGCGUUGCCUCCUACUGCCACGGUGCCACCGACGAUCGACCACGACGCUUCCAUGGCUACCUCUGCUUCCCGCCUCUGCCUUCUCGCCAUCGCGUUCCUCCUCGCCGUCGCCGCACCCCGCGUGGAUGCGUGGGGCGGCCGCUUCUUCUUCAGCAAGAUGACGCGCCCCGGAGCCGUGGUCGAGGCCGACAAGGCGGCGGACACCGCCACCGUGGCGACGGAGGCGCUCGGCACCAGCAACGCGCCAGCGGCGUUCUCGCGGCCGUCCAGCAACCGCGGCUACGGCCUCUACGGCCGCCCUGAGGAGAACGAGAAGUACCCGCCGGCCUACUUCCGCCGCGGCGUGCACCGCGACACCGAGAAGCUGACGACCACCAACGUCGUGCCGGAGACGGAGCCGCGGCACGAGGAGGAGGCGGCCGUCCCGGUUCAGGAAGAACAAUCCUCGGGCGAGGAGGAGCCGGCGUUCCCCGCGGACGGCAGCGGCAGGGGGCGGCCGCUGUCGUACAUGCGCCACCGCGGCAAGCACGAGCGCGACUACUACGGGAUGAGCGACACGAGGCUGUACCAGAACGGCCGGUACUACUACGACGUGGAGACUGACAAGUACGGCUACGGCUACGAGUCCAACCCGGUGCGGACGGCGCGCCCCGAGCCCGAGGACAACGGCUCCGGGUACGGCCGCCCCGGCCGCCAGCGGAGCUACGGCGAGGCGGCCGGAUACGAGAACGACAACGGGGUGGCGGAGAAGCAGAACGACGACGGCGGCGUCCAGGAAAACCAGAACGGGCAGUACAAUCCAUGA